GAUGAACGCUGGCGGCGUGCCUAAUACAUGCAAGUCGAGCGAACAGACGAGGAGCUUGCUCCUCUGACGUUAGCGGCGGACGGGUGAGUAACACGUGGAUAACCUACCUAUAAGACUGGGAUAACUUCGGGAAACCGGAGCUAAUCCCGGAUAAUAUAUUGAACCGCAUGGUUCAAUAGUGAAAGACGGUUUUGCUGUCACUUAUAGAUGGAUCCGCGCCGCAUUAGCUAGUUGGUAAGGUAACGGCUUACCAAGGCGACGAUGCGUAGCCGACCUGAGAGGGUGAUCGGCCACACUGGAACUGAGACACGGUCCAGACUCCUACGAGAGGCAGCAGUAGGGAAUCUUCCGCAAUGGGCGAAAGCCUGACGGAGCAACGCCGCGUGAGUGAUGAAGGUCUUCGGAUCGUAAAACUCUGUUAUUAGGGAAGAACAAAUGUGUAAGUAACUAUGCACGUCUUGACGGUACCUAAUCAGAAAGCCACGGCUAACUACGUG
rnacentral:rRNA from 1 species